CCUACGGGAGGCAGCAGUGGGGAAUAUUGCACAAUGGGGGAAACCCUGAUGCAGCAACGCCGCGUGUAUGAAGAAGGAUUUCGGUUUGUAAAGUUCUUUCAUUAGGGAAGAAAAUGACGGUAUCUAAUUAAUAAGCACCGGCUAACUCCGUGCCAGCAGCCGCGGUAAUACGUAGGGUGCAAGCGUUACUCGGAUUUACUGGGUGUAAAGUGAGCGGAGACGGCAGAGCAAGUCAGGUGUGAAAUCCCUGGGCUUAACCACGGAACUGCAUUUGAAACUGUUAAGCUAGAGUGCAGGAGAGGUAAGUAGAAUUCCUAGUGUAGCGGUGAAAUGCGUAGAGAUGAGGAGGAAUACCCGUGGCGAAGGCGGCCUACUGGACUAUAACUGACGCUGAGGCGCGAAAGCGUGGGGAGCAAACAGGAUUAGAUACCCCGGUAGUC
rnacentral:rRNA from 1 species